rnacentral:misc_RNA from 1 species
UCGUUGUGUGAUGUGAUUUAGAAUUUAAGUUUGCUGGCAGACCCUAGCUUCUUAUCAUUCCAGGACUCAAUCAAUUGAGAUGAGGUUGAUAGGACGCUGGACUCACUGUAAUUCGCAAGAAUUGCAGAGAUGUUCAGUAGAACCUUGACAACUGCAUAGGUAAGUCUGGAAAGAAUAAAGCAUCUCAUGGAUGCAUGAUUCUUGGGAAUCAGCUGAUGCAAUCUGCGCGAGCAGAGAGCUGAGGUUGAUGAACGAGAAUGAUGUUUGAUUCUUGAGUCAAGAGCCGAGACUCUAUAGCGUUCUUUCGAUGUCAUCGAGGCAUCGAGAGUUUGAUUGGUGAUUCAAACCAUUUUCAAUGACAAACAAUUCAGUUUAACU